GGGGGAGGAGUGGGGGAGGGAUGGAGGAAUGGAAAAGGGGGACUUUGUCAGGAGUGUAUUUUCCCUCAUAGUUUUGCUAUUUGUUCCAACCAGAAUUCAUAGUUAUUGUCAGAUGAUUUACAGAUACCCCUCUCCAUCGUUAUUUGAUAUAGCAACUGCUCUUUACCUAGAGGCCAACAUGGUGUCACCACACUUUUCCAGUUUUAGGCUAUCAUAAGUUUUGCUGCAGUCAAAAUGGAUACCUAUAAAAG